UGCAGAGCCACUGAGGUAUCGGGAGAAAACGUGGCUGAAGCACUCAGGGGAGGAUUUCCACAGGCACUGAGUUAAUCCAGACAAUUUGAAAAGGAUCAGCCUCAUGCUGUCUUGAAACUGCCCCGGUAGCCUGGGGAGGAACCCAAGUGGGAAGAAAGGCAGCUGGCUUGAGGUGCAGACCCAGAGCCUUGUGUGGAGUGGCUGGCCCCUGCUUGAUGAGAAUGAUGGGCCCUCCCUCUGGACUACACACACUCAUGGGCACACGCACAUACACAUCCCACACCGCCACAAGGAGCAUGGCUCCCUCCGAACACAUCAGCUCUGGUCGCCAUAGCAACGCAGUAGCCAACUUCCCAGCUGAACAACUUUUACCAGACACAAGCACAUUUUCCUGCCCUGCCCUUCUUCACUGGGUGCUGAGAGGGACCAGAGUGUGGGCUGUACUGAAAGGCCUCUAAAGGGGUCAGUGACCCCAGGGAAGGAAGGCUGCCCCACUUGUGUGGGUUGCUCUACCAGGAAGGGCCCUCUCCAGAUGGCAGGACUGGGUGCAUAGGUCUUGUCUUUCUGGAGUACAGUGAGGGAGGCCUGGGCUGAACAGAAAAUACUGGGGUUCUUACUUCUCGGAGAAAGAAACCAGGCUACAGAUAUCGCUCAGAGGGAAAUGUGCUUGCUGCAUAAAUAUGAGGAUUAAAACUUGGAUCCCAGCACCUACAAUGAGUCCUGGGCAGGAGGGGUGCCAGUCUGUAAUGCCAGUGCUGAGGAAGAUGAGGAAUCCUCAGAACAAGCAGUGGGCCAGCCUCGCUGACUCAGUGAGCUCUGGGUUCAAGUGAGAGACCCUGCCUUAAUAUAUAAUCAGGUGGAGGACAAUCUAAGUCACCCAACAUCAGGCCUCUACCCAAGACUGCAGUGACCCCAACAGCACAUCUCCCUAAAUGAUGGCAUGCCAGGCUGGUGAACACUAACCUCCAAGAGAGAAGUCAUCUGUCACCGGGCUCUCAGACAGCUUGCCUUAACCCACAGACUUCUAAGGCAGAGAAUGCUAUAUGGGAACCUGGAAGGACAUUACUAUCAGAGCAGCAGACAGAGAUUUAAAUAGAAACAUCUUUCCAACACUCACACCAAAUUUGGGAAGUGAAGCGACUAAGAUGUCCGCAAAGUGAAGAGGAACCUGGCUCACACCUCAGGUGAUUCAGGCAGCACUGUGCUCCAGCACUCAGGAUGAUGCAGGUAAUAAGUACUGUAUCCCCCAGCACCCAGGGGAAUACAAGCACUUCUGUUACUGUAAAAGACCCCAUAAGCUCCCAUGUUUGAAUACUUAGUCCCAGUUGACGGUGUUAUUUGGAGAUGAGGAAGUGUGACCUGAGUAGAGGAGGAGAAGUGCGGCCGGGCGGUUGCUUUGAAGUUUCCGAAGCCGAACGCCAUCCUCUUCUAGCUUCCUCUGCCUUUGUUUGUGAUCCGAGACCCGAGCUGCUGCUUUGAGCGGCCACCUGCUCCCCCUACUCCAAUGUGAACUCCAAUCCACAACUCUAAGCCCUAAACCCUUCCAACCCACAACUCUAAGCCCUACCGAGACCUUUCCUUCUGCAAGUUGCCUUGGUCGAUGUUUUUCAUAGCAGGACAGUAACUAAAACACCUACCUGAAGAAAAGUUUGA